rnacentral:snRNA from 1 species
AUGCUCAAUUUGGCAGCGCAUAUACUAAAAUUGGAAUGAUACAAGGAAGAUUAGCAUGGCACUUGUAAAAGGAUAACACACAAAUUUGUGAAGUGUUCCAUAUUUUC